rnacentral:rRNA from 1 species
GAUGAACGCUGGCGGCGUGCCUAAUACAUGCAAGUCGAGCGAACAGACGAGGAGCUUGCUCCUUUGACGUUAGCGGCGGACGGGUGAGUAACACGUGGAUAACCUACCUAUAAGACUGGGAUAACUUCGGGAAACCGGAGCUAAUACCGGAUAACAUGUUGAACCGCAUGGUUCAACAGUGAAAGACGGUCUUGCUGUCACUUAUAGAUGGAUCCGCGCCGCAUUAGCUAGGUGGUAAGGUAACGGCUUACCAAGGCAACGAUGCGUAGCCGACCUGAGAGGGUGAUCGGCCACACUGGAACUGAGACACGGUCCAGACUCCUACGGGAGGCAGCAGUAGGGAAUCUUCCGCAAUGGGCGAAAGCCUGACGGAGCAACGCCGCGUGAGUGAAGAAGGUCUUCGGAUCGUAAAACUCUGUUAUUAGGGAAGAACAAAUGUGUAAGUAACUAUGCACGUCUUGACGGUACCUAAUCAGAAAGCCACGGCUAACUACGUG